UGUGAGUUUUAUAAAGUCGCCGUGCACAGUACAAUUCAUUUAAUUUUCACACAAAAGGAGAGAAAGUUCAUGAAAAAAGGUAUUAAAAUUUGACUAAUACCACUGAUCAACACUGCAUCAUUCCCUCAAGUACUUCAGAAAUAAAAUAUACAAAUGUGGGCAGCGAAAAAUCCUCUAAAUGACCACCAUGAUGAAUAGUGACACCCUUUCCAUGGUGCCAAACCACCAAGAAAGGAAGUCAGUAAAUGCUGUAACAUGUCUAACCUUUUAACAGUAAGCAUGAAACCCAAUCUACUUCCACGAAUUUGCCUUGCUCUCACUUAGUUUAUCUGGCAGGUUGCCAAUUUAACCAUUAGCGUAAGAUCCUCAGAAUACAGUCAUUAGAUGUGGCUGUCAAGUGCACUUCCUCUUUUAUUUGUUAGCAUUGAAAAGUCUGUAGCAACAUCAUUUAAAAGCCAUGGCUACCUUGAGAGUUUACUCUUCAUCAUGGAGGAAGCAUAAUAGCAUGAAGUCACCUCUGAUAAGCAAACUCUUGUUUCCAACCGGAGAGUUCAAAUUUAAGCAGGACAUGUGACCCACCUGUGCAAAAUGCAAGAUACAGGAAACCUGCAUACUGGUCUUGAAUAGGAGCCAGCUCGGAAGUUAAUGAUGGUGGCUACUUGCCAGAAUAUAACAAUAGGAACAUUACUAAAGAUGUUUGUGCAUUGGAAAAUCUCAAACCACAGAAGCUGAAUAGCAACAAACAUUAUCAACCCAAGAGGUCCUCAUGUAGCAGUAACUAUAAAGCAUCAUUGCAUGGUUCUGUUCUCUAUUCAGUUCCUCAUCAUCCUUCUGCAGGGAAGUUAAAGUGUUAAUCAACUUUUAUUAAAUCAAAUUGGUUCAAAUUCACAUUCAGUUGUAAAGAAUAUGCAUAUUUGAAAAUGUUGUUGUCAAUCCUACCAUACAAUUCCAGUGUUACAUUGUCUGAGAGGUCAAUGCACCUGAACAAUCUAAUUAAAGGUGCUUUUCUGUUGAGUAAUAUUGGGCAAAAACAAGUACGUAGUUUCUCUGAGGUAGUAUUGGGUUAAGAUUCAAGAUUGCAUAGUCAUUUCCAGUGCAAAAGUGUAAAGCAGACCAAAAUAAUUGUUACUCCGGAUCCAAUGCAGCACAAUAAAUAUAAAUACAUAAAAUGGCUUAUACACAUAGUUUGUAUAUACAUAAGGUGAUGCUAGGUACUGGAUGUCUGUUAAAAAAAAGGUGACUGACAAGAAAUGAUUAAGAAGUCCUGGUAGGAGAUGUGGAGGGGUGUGUUAGUGGGUGGAGGUGUUGAUCAGUCUUACAGCUUGGGGAAAGUAACUGCUUUUGAGUCUGAUAGUCCAAUACUUGAGAUUUAAAUCUUCAACAACUGGGACUCAACCAAAAUAUCGAUUUGAUUAUGUUAACUGUGCAAUACAGAGAAUUUAAAAAUGUCAUUAAUUCUCUGUAUCAGGCAAUGAUUAUAUUAAAGAAGUAUUUCACAUAAAAUGUUGACAGAGAUAGUAGCACCCAAAUUAGGACAUGUGCUCAAUUAUUAAUGUGCUGGUGAAUAAACAAGGAACACAUACGCUUGACAGAACAAAUACUACAAAUCUCACGUGGAAUAACAGAGAAACAGAUUUUAACCUGAGCGUUCCAUGUUGUGAACUCACGUUCCCAAGACAUUUCUUAGUUGAUUGUCUGCACAGUUGCACCCUAUUGAAGUGCCUUCUAUUGUUUGGUUUGGAGGUGGUAAAUCUUAGAAGCCACAGAAAUUUAGCUCCUGGAAUGACAGACACUGUUAGAGCCUAAUCCAUCAACAUAUGAAUACUGCCUGCAGUGCGGAGAAAAUAGAUCACGAAAAUGGGAGGUUCACUGUUGUCAGAAAUAUUCACAGAGAAUGUCUGUUUUUGUUUAUCUAAUUUGUUCUGAAAAGUCAGCAUAAACUUUUCUGGCUCCAGGAGAGAAGGAAAAGAAAGAUAAUUUAAAAGCAGAGAAGAUGAAUAUUAGUCUCACAAAUUAAUAUUGCUAAUAACUUCAUUGGGCUGAUGCACUAGUGGAUUUGUCAACCUGCUGUCUAAUUUCCAUCUCUAAGAUUUAGAUCCAUUACCUAAAUUAGCACUUCGGUGUGCUGGUGAAGAAGUACUGCAUUAGUAGAGGUAUUGCUUUUCAGAUAAGAUGUAAAGCCAAGAAACUUAUUUCCAAUAAAAUGAAUGCUAAGGACCUGACCACAUAAUUUGUAGUCCCAGAGUUACCAUUUAUCCCGAGUCAAUCUCACUGAUGUAGAUUGGAGUAGAACUACAAAUUUGGUCACUGGUGCAAGAGCAUUGCUGCAAGAGGCUUUACUCUACUUCUGAAAUUUAGUUCUAUUGACAUCAAUUUUUAGCAUAAGUGAUCAAGAAAUUCUGCUCCUAUUAUCUGCUCACCCAUCUGUUUUACUUGUGGUGUUUUGCUGUUUGUAAGUUGGCUGGUCUAUUUGGCUACAUGACUGUAGAGUUUUUACUUCAAAACCACUUCAUUUUGGAAAAUA